UUGUCAAAAUUGUCAUUAUUUUAUUCUACUUUACGGUAACAUCUCGAAUAAUUUAGUGGGCUAUAUCAUCGGUGUAGUGAUAUAAACGAAGUUUGGCUCCUCAUAGAUUCAAAGCCAUCGAUGCUCAAUAUUGAUUUACGAUGCUGUGGUAAAAUAUGGUUGCAUUUUUUUCGUCGCGUUAUACGAAUUCGUUCAAAGGAGAGCACGUUAUAGACGUUUACUGUAUUACGUAUGUAAAGAUGUUUGAUUUAAAAACGAGUACCUCUUUUCGCCACAAACAGUUUUUCCGUCCGAUUUAUACGAAUUCGCGUUUUAGGAGUCCAUAUUAUACAAGAGUCUACUGUACGCAGUAUAUUUUAAAAUUUUGUUAAAUUAUAUUGUUUUAAAAGUAUAUGAUGAUGAUCUGUAAAUUAAGUAUCUACAUUUGUCCUAUUGAUUCUGUUAUUUAUUUAUAAUUGGUAACAAUUACGAUAUGGGAAGGCAGAGCAGAUUCUAGAUAUUUUGUCACCUAAGGCAACAUUAGAAAAUGGCUCCCUCUCUCCUCUUCACUCAGGUGCAUUAAUACAUAAAUAUAUGUAAUACUUUGGGACCGGGAAUGUGAUGACAUCAGAUACAGAGGCACUGAGAAACUUUAUUCGUAUUUUCAAAGCAACAAUAAUUAAGAAAAUAUUACCAAAAAAUACAUUUAUAAUAGAUAUAAUAAGUAUCAACUAUAAUCUAAUUUUUCUUGCUUUCAAUCAAAC
rnacentral:lncRNA from 1 species